AUCUAGAAUGACCAUCUUCUAAGUCCUACAUCUAGAAUCUCAUUUCUGUUACUGUGUCUUUCAGUUGCCUCCUGUCUCUGUUAUACUUGACACACCUGAGCUGUUAUUGGAUUCAUGUAAAACAACAUGGUUUCACGCAGUCUGGAGGAGUUUUACCAUGGUAACAUAUCAACAGACAACUGUUGUUUUCUCAGGUUUGUCCUUUAUAGUUGCUCUAUUUUUUUCAAUGCUGCUUGAAUGUCAUUUCCCCAAAAUGUCUGCCUCUUUGCCUAUUGAGAGAGUUGCUCUUUAAAAGGUAACGUCAUUCACCAUGUAUCAACCAUCCUCCAUUAAAUCUCAUGUAAACAUCCCGAGGAGGCCUGUUGUCUGGCUAUGAUGAAGAAAAUGUGAUUGUGAUGUGUACAAUAUGUUCUGGAGUAGUCGCUACAGAAUACAGCCCAACGGAAGUAGCCUGGCAGGUUAUUGACCCUGAGACAUAUCUAUACAGUACAGUAGAGGGUCAACUGGGUUUGAGGUUUAGUAUCUGUAAUGGGCGCCACUGUUAGCACCCAAAGUAUCAUGCCAUGAUUAUUCCAGUCAGAAUGUAAAUUAGAAUGUUAUGAUGGUGAUUGGUUAGCCUGGGUAUAUCAGUAUGCUUGGACCAUCAUGUCACUCCUUGCCACUUCCUGGCAUCCAAACAUGACAAUGAAUGGAAUGAUGGCACAACACGGAUCUGGGAGCAGCAGGUUAGACACGGAUCUGGGAGCAGCAGGUUAGACACUGAUCUGGGAGCAGCAGGUUAGACACUGAUCUGGGAGCAGCAGGUUAGUGUUUGGUGCCAACACGGAGGUUAGACACUGAUCUGGGGCAGCAG
ensembl:lncRNA